UAAAGUACUUCACAUUGCAAAUCAUGCUCGUUGACUUUGGUAACAAUAUUUCUCCGUACACCUCAUUCGAAAUACUAAAUGAAACCACAGAAUAAUAAUUUAGUGAUUGGCCAAGCCAAUGAAAUGCUCCAUGUGUAACAGCCAAAGAGUCCACACCAGAAAACACAGUACAAGACAACACAGGGUGGAUGUCAAUAGGGUGUCCAUCAAUUUUUCUCCCAGGAACCACUACGAUAUGAGCAGGCAGCGUAGGAGAAAAACACAUAGGUUGGAGAACACAAAAGUGGGAUUAAAGCUUCUCAAUUAUUAAGAUAUAGUUGCGGAGGGAGAGACUUGUGGCUGACGUAUUACAUGUGGAUUUUGUCACUGAGGUGAGGCUUCACAUUAUUCGUGGAGGUUGUCAUCCAGAUUUAGUUAUUUUUAGAUUAUAUUUCUUUUUGUUUGGUUUGCAUGCCUGAAAGCUGAAUUCAUGUAACUUUGUUUAGAUGCUCCAUGGUCUUAGCGUGAGAUUUGGGGCUUGAGAGUUAUUAUCUAAGUAUUGUUGUUUUCAUAAACCGUAUUACGAUAACUGGGUGGAUAAUUACUUUGCCUUUAAUAGUUAUUUUGUGCAUUUAAAGUUGCACGUAUUUUUA